rnacentral:rRNA from 1 species
AGGGUUUGAUCCUGGCUCAGGACGAACGCUGGCGGCGUGCUUAAUACAUGCAAGUCGAGCGAGAAACCACCGCUCCGUAAGGAGUGGUGGCGGAAAGCGGCGAACGGGUGAGUAACACGUGGGUAAUGUGCCCUGAACAUCGGGAUAACAGCGGGAAACCGCUGCUAAUACCGAAUAACCCUGCAACGUCGCAUGACGAAGCAGGCAAAGUUCCGGCGGUUCAGGAUCAGCCCGCGGUGUAUCAGCUUGUUGGUGGGGUAACGGCCUACCAAGGCUUUGACGCAUAGCUGGCGUGAGAGCGCGACCAGCCACACUGGGACUGAGACACGGCCCAGACUCCUACGGGAGGCAGCAGUAGGGAAUCUUGCGCAAUGGGCGAAAGCCUGACGCAGCGACGCCGCGUGAGGGAUGAAUGCCUUCGGGCUGUAAACCUCUUUCAGCAGGGACGAAGCCUUACGGUGACGGUACCUGCAGAAGAAGCCCCGGCCAACUACGUGCCAGCAGCCGCGGUAAUACGUAGGGGGCAAGCGUUGUCCGGAUUUAUUGGGCGUAAAGAGCUCGUAGGCGGCUAUUCACGUCGGAUGUGAAAGCUCAAGGCUCAACCUUGAGAGGCCAUUCGAUACGGGAUAGCUAGAGGUAGGUAGGGGAGAUCGGAAUUCCUGGUGUAGCGGUGAAAUGCGCAGAUAUCAGGAGGAACACCGAUGGCGAAGGCAGAUCUCUGGGCCUUACCUGACGCUGAGGAGCGAAAGCUGGGGGAGCGAACAGGAUUAGAUACCUGGUAGUCCCAGCCGUAAACGUUGAGUGCUAGUGUGGGGCGGUCUUCAACCCGCUCUGUGCCGCAGCUAACGCAUUAAGCACUCCGCCUGGGGAGUACGGUCGCAAGA